CGACCGGCGGACGGGUGCGUAACGCGUAUGCAACCUGCCUGACACAGGGGGAGUAAUCCGAAGAAAUUUGGUCUAAUACCCCAUAAUACCGAUAUAGGCAUCUAUGUUGGUUGAAAGCUUUGGUGGUGUCAGAUGGGCAUGCGUUGUAUUAGCUAGUUGGUGAGGUAACGGCUCACCAAGGCGACGAUACAUAGGGGGACUGAGAGGUUAACCCCCCCACACUGGUACUGAGACACGGACCAGACUCCUACGGGAGGCAGCAUG
rnacentral:rRNA from 1 species